GCUCCCACUUAUCAGGAACCACCAGACAGACUUCUCAACAUGGGGUUCCCUGCUCAGCUCCUGGGGCUGCUGAUGCUCUGGAUCCCUGGAUCCAGUGGGGAUAUCUUGUUGAUGCAGACCCCGCUUUCCCUGCCCGUCAGCCCUGGAGAGCCGGCCUCCAUCUCCUGCAGGUCCAGUGCGAGCCUCGUACACAAUAAUGGAAACACCUAUUUGCACUGGUACCUCCAGAAGCCAGGCCAGGCUCCUCGGCUCCUGAUCUAUAAGGUUUCCAACCGUGACUCUGGGGUCCCAGACAGGUUCAGUGGCAGUGGGUCAGGGACAGAUUUCACCGUGAAGAUCAGCAGGGUGCAGGCUGACGAUGCUGGAGUUUAUUACUGCCACCAAGGUACAAAAUAUCCUCCCACAGUGAUACAGCCCUGAACACAAACCUCCCUGCCCGGGUGGCCCAGCUGCCCAAAUACAUUGUUUAAUCUGGGGAGCAGGCAUGGCCAAUUCUCUGAGUUUGCUUAAGAGGAGGAUGUUGGGGAAUCAGGGGGAGAGGUGGCA